rnacentral:rRNA from 1 species
GACGAACGCUGGCGGCGUGCUUAACACAUGCAAGUCGAACGGAAAGGCCCUGCUUUUGUGGGGUGCUCGAGUGGCGAACGGGUGAGUAACACGUGAGUAACCUGCCCUUGACUUUGGGAUAACUUCAGGAAACUGGGGCUAAUACCGGGAGCUCCUGCUGCAUGGUGGGGGUUGGAAAGUUUCGGCGGUUGGGGAUGGACUCGCGGCUUAUCAGCUUGUUGGUGGGGUAGUGGCUUACCAAGGCUUUGACGGGUAGCCGGCCUGAGAGGGUGACCGGCCACAUUGGGACUGAGAUACGGCCCAGACUCCUACGGGAGGCAGCAGUGGGGAAUAUUGCACAAUGGGCGGAAGCCUGAUGCAGCAACGCCGCGUGCGGGAUGACGGCCUUCGGGUUGUAAACCGCUUUCGCCUGUGACGAAGCGUGAGUGACGGUAAUGGGUAAAGAAGCACCGGCUAACUACGUG